UACGUAGGGUGCAAGCGUUGUCCGGAAUUAUUGGGCGUAAAGAGCUCGUAGGCGGUUUGUCGCGUCGAAUGUGAAAACCCGGGGCUCAACUCCGGGCCUGCAUUCGAUACGGGCAGACUAGAGUUCGGUAGGGGAGUCUGGAAUUCCUGGUGUAGCGGUGAAAUGCGCAGAUAUCAGGAGGAACACCAGUUGCGAAGGCAGCUCCGCUGGACGUAACUGACGACUGGAGACGCGAAGCGGUGGUAGCAAAACAGGA
rnacentral:rRNA from 1 species